UUGAACUGAAGAGUUUGAUCCUGGCUCAGAUUGAACGCUGGCGGCAU
rnacentral:rRNA from 1 species